rnacentral:rRNA from 1 species
ACUCCUACGGGAGGCAGCAGUGGGGAAUAUUGCACAAUGGGCGCAAGCCUGAUGCAGCCAUGCCGCGUGUGUGAAGAAAGGCCUUCGGGUUGUAAAGCACUUUCAGUUGUGAGGAAGGUGGUGUCGUUAAUAGCGGCAUCAUUUGACGUUAGCAACAGAAGAAGCACCGGCUAACUCCGUGCCAGCAGCCGCGGUAAUACGGAGGGUGCGAGCGUUAAUCGGAAUUACUGGGCGUAAAGCGCAUGCAGGUGGUUUGUUAAGUCAGAUGUGAAAGCCCGGGGCUCAACCUCGGAACUGCAUUUGAAACUGGCAGGACUAGAGUACUGUAGAGGGGGGUAGAAUUUCAGGUGUAGCGGUGAAAUGCGUAGAGAUCUAGAAGGAAUACCGGUGGCGAAGGCGGCCCCCCUGGACAGAUACUG